GGGUACAUGAACACACAGGUACAGGUGCACAGGUAUACAGGUACAGGUGCAUGAACACACAGGUGCAGGUGCACAGGUAUACAGGUACAGGUGCAUGAACACACAGGUGCAGGUGCACAGGUAUACAGGUACAGGUGCAUGAACACACAGGUGCAGGUGCACAGGUAUACAGGUACAGGUGCAUGAACACACAGGUGCAGGUGCACAGGUAUACAGGUACAGGUGCAUGAACACACAGGUGCAGGUGCACAGGUAUGCAGGUACAGAUUUAGGUGCACUCGUACGGGUGUAUACAGAUACAGGUGCACGUCAGCAGCUCCUCUUCUGUGAUCAUUCAUCCCCUCCAGGCCUGUUCCAAAUCAGCGUUUUCCAAAG